UUACGGCCAUAUCACGUUGAAAUAGGUUCUAGUACGAUACCGAAGUCAAGCAACGUCGAGCCUGGUCAGUACCUAAAUGGGUGACCGCUUGGGAAUACCAGGUGUUGUAAG